GUGUUUGCUUCGACAGGACAUAUAACUAAAAUUGGAAUGAUAUGGAGAAAAUUAGCAUGGCCCCUGUGCAAGGAUGACACGCAAAUUCAUGAAGUGUCCCAUUUUUGU
ensembl:snRNA U6 U6 spliceosomal RNA